rnacentral:rRNA from 1 species
CGGUCACGUUCGUUGCAUUCAAUUAUAUUGAUUCAAUAUAUAGCAAAAAUAUUUAUGUUCACAAUCUUUAUUAUGAAAAUAAAGCAGAACAAUAAAUAAUCACAUAUAUAAUGAAUACUUUUUAUCUGAAACGCAAUUAAGCAGACAGAUCAAUCCACGAACUAAGAACGGCCAUGCACCACCUAUCAUAUAAUCAUGAAAGGACUAUCAUAUUUGUAAUAUAUUAUUAUAAAAAUAAUAUAUUUAUCACCUGUCAAUCCUCAAUAUGUCUGGACCUGGUAAGAUUUCCCGCGUUGGGUCAAAUUAAGCCACAUGCUCCAC